UACGAAGGGGGCUAGCGUUGUUCGGAAUUACUGGGCGUAAAGGGCGCGUAGGCGGCCUUGAUAGUUGGGCGUGAAAGGCCUGGGCUUAACCCAGGAACUGCGUUCAAUACUGCGAGGCUAGAGUGUGGGAGAGGUUGGUGGAAUUCCCAGUGUAGAGGUGAAAUUCGUAGAUAUUGGGAAGAACACCGGUGGCGAAGGCGGCCAACUGGACCACAACUGACGCUGAGGCGCGAAAGCGUGGGGAGCAAACAGGAUUAGAAACCCCGGUAGUCC
rnacentral:rRNA from 1 species